GGAGGGGGAUAAUUACUGGAAACGGUAGCUAAUACCGCAUAACGUCGCAAGACCAAAGAGGGGGACCUUAGGGCCUCUUGCCAUCGGAUGUGCCCAGAUGGGAUUAGCUUGUAGGUGAGGUAACGGCUCACCUAGGCGACGAUCCCUAGCUGGUCUGAGAGGAUGACCAGCCACACUGGAACUGAGACACGGUCCAGACUCCUACGGGAGGCAGCAGUGGGGAAUAUUGCACAAUGGGCGCAAGCCUGAUGCAGCCAUGCCGCGUGUAUGAAGAAGGCCUUCGGGUUGUAAAGUACUUUCAGCGGGGAGGAAGGGAGUGAGGUUAAUAACCUUAUUCAUUGACGUUACCCGCAGAAGAAGCACCGGCUAACUCCGUGCCAGCAGCCGCGGUAAUACGGAGGGUGCAAGCGUUAAUCGGAAUUACUGGGCGUAAAGCGCACGCAGGCGGUCUGUCAAGUCGGAUGUGAAAUCCCCGGGCUCAACCUGGGAACUGCAUUCGAAACUGGCAGGCUGGAGUCUUGUAGAGGGGGGUAGAAUUCCAGGUGUAGCGGUGAAAUGCGUAGAGAUCUGGAGGAAUACCGGUGGCGAAGGCGGCCCCCUGGACAAAGACUGACGCUCAGGUGCGAAAGCGUGGGGAGCAAAAAGGAUUAGAUACCCUGGUAGUCCACGCUGUAAACGAUGUCGACGUGGAGGUUGUUCCCUUGAGGAGUGGCUUCCGGAGCUA
rnacentral:rRNA from 1 species